CGCGGGGGAAACAGCGAGGCUGGCGCAGCGCCGAGGCCGCGGCCCUGGGGGCCCGCAAUCCACGCCACGGAAUCCCCGAGUGAGCAGGGGUGAGCGCAGCCACUGCCCAACGCAAACCGUGAAGAAGCUUCUGGAAGAGCAGAGGCGCCGCCAGCAGCAGCAGCCCGACGCUGGCGGGGUGCAGGGACAAUUUCUCCCUCCCCCAGAGCAGCCCCUGACCCCAUCUGUGAAUGAGGCUGUGACUGGCCGGACCCUGGAGAGUUUCUGCACUCCCUUCGGGACCCCCACAGUUGCCCGCUGUGGUCCCUGGACCAUCGCUGGAGGCAGCCCGAGCUCACAUGCUGGCUUUGGGGCCACAGCAGCUGCUGGCCCAGGAUGAGGAGGGGGACACGUGAGUAUAAGGGAUGCGGUUGUCUGCAGACUCUUGGCUUGGCGGGGGCUGUUCUCACGGCUGUCCCCCACCUGUCCUCAGGCUCCUUCACCUGUUCGCGGCUCGGGGGCUGCGCUGGGCGGCAUAUGCUGCGGCUGAGGUGCUCCAGGUGUACCGGCAUCUUGACAUUCGUGAGCAUAAGGGCAAGACCCCGCUUCUGGUGGCAGCUGCUGCCAACCAGCCCCUGAUUGUGGAGGAUCUGUUGAACCUGGGAGCAGAGCCCAAUGCCGCUGACCAUCAGGGACGUUCGGUCUUGCACGUGGCCGCUACCUACGGGCUCCCAGGAGUUCUCUUGGUAUGGCCAGCUGGCAGGCAGGGGUUUGUUUGGGGGGUAGACUGGUUGCCCAGAUUUUGGCUUCCACGGCCAGGAGGCCAGGGGAUACCCUUACCCAGCAGUCUGCCUUCUCUUCCUCC
rnacentral:sRNA from 1 species